rfam:Halosimplex carlsbadense 16S rRNA gene, 23S rRNA gene and ITS1, strain 2-9-1(T)
CUAACGUGGCUGCUAUGCCACCUGGUGAAUAGCUCGGCUCGAGAGCCGACGAAGGACGUGCCAAGCUGCGAUAAGCCUGUGGGAGCUGCAUGGAAGCGAAGAACACAGGAUGUCCGAAUGGGAAUCCCCACCGCAAUUGCUUCGCGCAAUGGGGAACGCCGGGAAUUGAAACAUCUUAGUACCGGUCGGAAAAGAAAUCAAACGAGAUAUCGUCAGUAACCGCGAGUGAACGCGAUACAGCCCAAACUGAAGGCCUCACGGCCAAUGUGGUGUAUUGGGCCGGCACUCAUCGUCGGAACCCUUCUGUGAAGUCUCCUGGAACGGAGCGCGACACAGGGUGAAAGCCCCGUAACGGAAGCUAGUAUGACGUGAGCCGGUUCCGGAGUAGCGGGGGUUGGAAAUCCCUCGUGAAUACGGCAGGCAUCUACUGCCAAGGCUAAAUACUCCUCGAGACCGAUAGCGAACAAGUAGCGCGAGCGAACGCUGAAAAGUACCCUCAGAAGGGAGGCGAAACAGGGCUUGAAAUCAGGUGGCGAUGGAGCGACGGGGCAUGAAAGGCCCGUUCGAAAACGACAGAGGCGCGAGCCUCCAGUAGGACCGAACGGGAGCCGAUGUUCCGUCGUACGUUUUGAAAAACGAACCAGGGAGUGUGUCUGUUUGGCGAGUCUAACCGGUUCAUCCGGGAAGGCAUAGGGAAACCGACAUGGCCGCAGUGCUUUGCACCAGGGCCGCCGUGUUCAAGCGCGGGGAGUCAAACUGACACGACCCGAAACCGGACGAUCUACGCGUGGGCAAGACGAAGCGUGCCGAAAGGCACGUGGAGGUCUGCUAGUGUUGGUGUUUUACAACACCCUCACGUGACCUACGUGUAGGGGUGAAAGGCCCAUCGAGUUCGGCAACAGCUGGUUCCGACCGACAAAUGUCGAAGCAUUACCCCUGCCGAGGUAGUUCGUGGGGUAGAGAGACUGAUUGAGCGGACCGCCCUCGAGAGAGGUCGGCCGUUCUGUCAAACUCCGAACCUACGAACGCUGGCGACGCGGGGAGUUCGGUGCGCGGGGUAAGCCUGUGUACCGUGAGGGAGACAACCCAGAGUCGGGUUAAGGUCCCCAAGUGUGGACUAAGUGCGAUCGAAGGUGGUCUCAAGCCCUAGACAGCCGGGAGGUGAGCUUAGAAGCAGCUACCCUCCAAGAAAAGCGUAACAGCUUACCGGCCGAGGUUUGAGGCGCCCAAAAUGAUCGGGGCUCAAGUCCACCACCGAUACCUGACCAUGCUCGUUACAGAGCAAUUGUGUAGGUCGGCGUUCUGAUCGGGUGGAAGCACGGCCGAGAGUUCGUGUGGACCGAUUUGAAACGAAAAUCCUGGUCACAGUAGCAGCGAAAGUCGGGUUGAAAUCCUGACGGCCAAAAGGGCAAGGGUUCCUCAGCACUGUUCGUCAGCUGAGGGUUAGCCGGUCCUAAGUCUCACCGUAAUUCGAAUGAGACGAAAUGGGAAGCAGGUUAAUAUUCCUGCGCCAUCGUUCAUUGAAAGUCGACGCCUUGGGGUAGACCGAGCCGGGCCAUCGCCCGGUCGAACCGUCCAACUCCGUGGAAGCCGUAAUGGCACGAAGCGGACGAACGGCGGGAUAGAGCAAUUCGGUUCAACCUGGGGCCCGUGAAAAGACGAGAACGAUGUCCGUACCGAGCACCGACACAGGUGCCCAUGGCGGAGAAAGCCUAGGCCUGUCGGGAACAACCGACGUUAGGGAAUUCGGCAAUCUAGUCCCGUACCUUCGGAAGAAGGGAUGCCUGCCUCGGGAAGAGGCAGGUCGCAGUGACUUGGAGGGCUCCGACUGUCUAGUAACAACAUAGGUGACCGCAAAUCCGCAAGGACUCGUACGGUCACUGAAUCCUGCCCAGUGCGGGUAUCUGAACACUCAGUACAAUGAGACGAAGGACCCGUUAACGGCGGGGGUAACUAUGACCCUCUUAAGGUAGCGUAGUACCUUGUCGCUUCAGUAGCGACUCGCAUGAAUGGAUUAACGAGAGCCUCGCUGUCCCAACGUUGGGCCCGGUGAACUGUACGUUCCAGUGCGGAGUCUGGAGACCCCCAAGGGGAAGCGAAGACCCUAUAGAGCUUUACUGCAGGCUGUCGCUGGGACGUGGUCGCUACUGUGCAGUGUAGGUAGGAGCUGUUACACAGGUACCCGCGCUAGCGGGCCACCGAGGCAUCCAUGAAACACUACCCGGUAGUGACUGCGACCCUCACUCCUGGCGGAGGACACCGGUAGCCGGGCAGUUUGACUGGGGCGGUACGCGCUUGAAAAGAUAUCGAGCGCGCCCCAAGUCCAUCUCAGCCGUGUCGGAAACGCGGCGAAGAGUGCAAAAGCAAAAGAUGGACUGACAGUGAUCUUCCCAACGAGGAUCGCUGACGUGAAAGCGUGGUUUAGCGAACCAAUUCGCCCGCUCGAUGCGGGCCAUUGCUGACAGAAAAGCUACCUUAGGGAUAACAGAGUCGUCACUCGCAAGAGUACAUAUCGACCGAGUGGCUUGCUACCUCGAUGUCGGUUCCCUCCAUCCUGCCCGUGCAGAAGCGGGCAAGGGUGAGGUUGUUCGCCUAUUAAAGGAGGUCGUGAGCUGGGUUUAGACCGUCGCGAGACAGGUCGGCUGCUAUCUAUUGGGGGUGUCAUUGGUAUCUGACGGGAACGUCCGUAUAGUACGAGAGGAACUACGGAUGGUGGCCACUGGUGUAUCGGUCGUCCGAGAGGGCGCUGCCGAGCAGCCACGCCACACGGGGUAACGGCUGAACGCAUCUAAGCCGGAAACCCACCUGGAAAAGAGAUACCGCAGAGGUCACUCGUAGAAGACGAGUUCGAUAGACUCGGGGUGUACGCACCGAGGCAACGAGGUGUUCAGCCCGCGAGUACUAAUCGACCGAAGCCACCAAUC